ACCCGUUCCUCGAAGAAAUGGUGUCUCUCUGGUAAAUAAUGCUGAACUGAAAUAGUCGUCACAGUUUUAUUGCACCGAAAUGUGCAACAGAAUGCCACGAAAGUAACAUCUCCAAGCAUUUCUGGGCAGUGGAGUGUUAAACGGCCCCGGCAAGAGUGGCUCCCCCCACACGCGCUCGCUGCCAGCCAAACCAAAUUCUACUUUAACUCCAGGAAAGAUGAAAUGCUGCCUCUCAUGAGGGUUGCUGUCUAUCCGGCAUCUCCCCGACAUUUAUGGAAGAAGAACUCGCCGUUGCGCGGCUUCCGCACGACUGACAAGCUCUGAAAAACGCAACGGUUGACGAAACAUACUUAAGAAGCUGUCCCCAAGCUACACAUUCCUCCCCAGAUGCCGUAAAAAAAAACAAAAAAAAACGAGUGAUGCAAAGUGGAGCCUGUCAAGCCAAUGAGGACGGAAGAUGAAGACAGGGCCGCCGAAAUAAGGAUAUCAGGGGUCCGUCUGGAGGAACUGUUGGAUUAGACAGCAUUCUGCUGGGUUAAAGAGGAGGUCUGAGCGGAGAGCAGCUUCCUGCUGUGGUGAAGUCCCCUUACCUCCAGGGCAUCACCACUCAAGAGAGAAAUACAAUUCAGAACACUGCAUUGACGUAUUAUUGCACCAUUGCUGCCAUUGGUUCUCGGGUAUGCUGUGACGAUCUUCAUUUCUGAUGCACGACGGCCGACUGACAACCUCCGCAGCUGAUGCCACAACCGCUUCGAAAAGAAUCGUGUUUAGAAAAGGAAACACUUCUGGCGGCGAGAAUUUCCUGAAAGCCAAUCGAGAGGACGCCGGCCCAGAAUGCACCACAGGAAGUGUCUGCGAGACUCCAGAAGCAGAGGUCAAGGCCAGGGGUCAACGGGUGGCACGGCAGAGAUUUACGCCGAGAGCAAACCCAGCCCGUUCCCAGCCUUCAUCCAUUUCCCGGGGAAAUUAGCCAUAAAGUCGCCGUUUUCAUCUUUCAAGGUUUUGUCAUAAACCGUCAUCUUUCCCCGUCUUUGAUACGAACAUGAAAAAAAAAAAAAACGGCACUAAAACAUUAGAAAAGCACAACAAUAGCCUACAACGGAUCCUACCGUAUUCUUUUCAUCUCGAGUUAACCUCUCGUUUUACCGUCCCGCCGUUUCCGACACGGACCACCCUAUUGUUUAAAGACGCCUGUGUGGGGGGGAAAAAAAACAAAAAAGUUUCACAUUUUCUGAAAUGUGCGGGGCUGCUCUCUGAGGUCCAUUUCAUUUUAACCAAAUGGGGGGGGAAGCUUGUCUUUACCGCGGUGAGCAGAUGGAACUAUAAAUCAAGGCAGCCGUUGCCGCCCUGUAGAGGGCCGACCACAGCUGCCACUCUCUGCGUUUCCCUGAAAAUCUUUUCAGGUCCAUCGUCGAGCAAUCUGGGCUUCUUUUUUUAUAUAUAUACGCCACACCUCCCCUCUCCGUACAGUCGUAUCCAUCAAAACGACGGUCGCCCAUCAACCUACUGCCACGAUCGAUUGGCACACUUAUAUUCGCGCAUAGCCAAUGCCCCGCUCUGGAGGUAAACCCCACGACAGGCCCCUCAUUUUGGCUCUUUAGCCCCCAGCAACCACUGCGACUCUGGCAGCAGCAGGCCAGGCCUCCUCCAUUAAACUUGCAUUAUGAUGGAUAUCAAGGCAUCCGGGCCCUGAGUGUUUUAAACGAGAGGUGACAAGAAACGCAACACGGGCUAUUGUUUCUCGCCCCGUCCUUAACAGCCUCCCGCUCCCCCACCCGAGAACGUCCUUCGGUGAUUUUAACAUAUUGGCUGUUUUGUUAAGUAAAUAGACUCGAUGAUCUGCGCGUAACCUACUGUAGAAGAAAGGGUCUGCGGUGGCCGCGGUGCUGCUCGCGGCCAGAUGGUGGCGCUCUAAUGCCACAGAUAUCAUUGAGAGGAGAGAUCCGGACAAAGACUGCGAAGAGCAGAAACGCUCAAAUGGAGAAAGUACAAUCAGUUCUUCACAUAAAUGCAUAGUUUUUACAGUAUCAGCAAUCAUUUCCCUCAAACGCGUAUCUGCGGCGUGACAGCAGUUUAACUCAAAGUAAACACUCUCAAAUUAGGUCCUUUUAGAGCCCGGUGUUACUCUGAGGUUAAUCGCUGAUAGCACAUUAUCUGGUUAAGAGAAAUCUAAUCACAGGACUUGUUUUAAUUAGGUUUAUUACUCAAGACGGGAGCCGAUCUGUGCCGUUUAUUUUUGAUUUGCAUGUCAUUUUUUGGAGGCCUUUUCAUUUCUUCGCUGUAUUUCAGCUGCGAGAUGUUAUGCAUUAUUUUAUUUGAUCGUAUAAACAUCGAGAGAUUUGCUAUUUGUCAACAGCCCGUCAUUAUCAUGAUAAGUCAAUCAGUCAUUCAGUAAAUUCAUAUUUAAUGCUCGCAGGCAGUCUUCGACAUUCAAUCAGUUCACAGUUUAAUGCCUCGGAUGAUUUGGAGUUUCAAAAGAAAAUGUAUUUUUUAAAGAGCAACAAACACGCAUCGCAAAAAGCCUCGCAUAAUCAAAUUACCUCUCGCAAUAUUUCAGGAGUUCAAGACUUGAUGUGCAAUUAAAAUAUCAGCAGUCAAAUGGCACAGGGAAAGAAAAUUAAUAUUAGCUAUAUUGUCAGACUCUUCUGAAAUCAUGUUUUCCUUCCAGAGCUGGGAAAAGCUCAGGAUGAUGGAACAUGAUUUGUUCAUGAGAUGGGACACCGCUGGUCAUUCAUUAUCCAAAGAGAGAAAGAAAAAAGGGAAAGAAAUGAAAGUGAAAAUGACAAAGAAAGACAGAGCUGGAUGUCAUCUUGGUUACGCGUUUCAAAGGAUGUUAGAUUCAGCCAUUUAAAAGAAGCGCACAUGCUUAAAAUGUAAAUUCUUUCUAUUUAACAUAGUCUUCUAAUAGAAGCUUGUGUUAAAUUGUGCUGUGGUUAAAAAAAAAACUCUGUUGUGAAGUGAUUCUGUGAACUUAUAUAUAAAUCCAUCACUAGAGAUGGAGUAGUCAAACAUUGCUGCUCUACAGUUCUCGUUCUCUUUAAAGAAGUUUGAUGUCCUUCACACUUCGUGAUUGCCGCUGGAACUAGAUGAAUUUUUUAAAACGCCGCAUAUUCAGAGUUUUCUUUUGCCAUUUUGAAAUUGUGUAAUUAUUGAUCAGCGCUAAAACAUUCGAUUUAUAAAAAAGCAUUACCAAACCUGACCGGUUAAAACGUUACAUUACGGUUUAUAUUGGCAGCGAAAUGUAACUAAGAACUGUAAAUAAAAGCUAAAAUGUAAAAAGUCAAAUAACAAUAAGAAA